GCCAGGAAACUCAUUGACUGUGAAAACAAGUCUAGAUUGCCUUCCUUCAUUUCAACUUGGAAGCCUGUGGUUAGAUUAUUGGGAUAUGAGGUUUUAACUGCCUUCAUGGCUUCUAAGACCACCUGGUACGGGAAUCUCAGGCACCAUUCAAACCUGGUUUUGGAACAUAUCUUCCCAACUACAUUACCUCAAUCUCACCGACAAUCAAUUACAAGUGGAGAUUCAAUAUAUAGUUUGUGCCCAUCUUCAGUAAGUGAUAUAAUUUCUAACCAGUUCAACGGUUCAUUGCUGCUUUUUUCUUCCAAUGGAGUCGUACUAUAUCUUUUCAGUUCAUCAUUUUCUGGAUCUGCCAUCCACUUCUUGUGAUGCAACACCUGGGCCAAAACAACUACGAUUUCUUCAUCUGGCAUUGGCGAAAGCUCACCAACUUUUACUCGAUCAACAAGAAAGGGACUAUAUCAUUAGCCAAGUCUCUGCAGCCAAAGGGAAAAUAUGAGCAAGAGUAUGAGCAGUCAGAAGAGUUUAACAGAACCAGAAUGGCGGAGGAGAAAAAUGCAAAAGAGGAUAUCAGAGGAGGAAGGACGAUUGAAAAAAAAAGAUGAAGUAGAAGCCAAAGAGAUGUGGAAAAGAAAACAAGAUCAUGAAGCAGAAUGGGAAGGAACAAGAGCAAAAAGGGUUUCAAGCUGGUGAGAUUUUAUGAAGGGUGGAAAGAAGGCCAAGAAAGGAGAACUUCGACCUCCCAAACUCAAAACUGAAGAUCCGAACAAGUCGUAUGUUCAAAGGCCAGUAAAAUGCGGCUGA